CUUGCUUCAGCGCCACGUGUACUAAAGCUAGACCCAACGCGGAGAAGACAGCACGGCCCCUGCGCAAGGAUGAUACACAAAUUCCGGAGGCGCACCAUUAUUUU